rnacentral:piRNA from 1 species
CAGGAUUUAAAAUGAGGGAAAAAAUG